AGCCACGGCCCCCACUCAGCAUAGCCCAAAAAAGGAGCAAAAAGCAGAAAGCUCAAGGACCCUCAGAAUCAAUUUUUACAGAAAGACACAAAGCUCAAGACCAGAAGUACAACUGAGGGAGCAUACGCUGUAAGACUGCCUCCCAGACACACCACUGCAACAGUGAAUCGCACUGUUUAGACUUUGACUUCAGGGUCGGGGUGAGCUGAUGAGACUGGCCCCUUGAUGAGGUGAGAGGCCACCAAGCAGUGAGAGCAGCUGAGUUUGAGCCCUGUCUCUGCCACCUGUAACUCUCUCAUCUUGAGCAGGUCCAGCCUCAGUGUGGGCCUCAGAUCUCCCAUCCUUGAAAUGAGAGAAUUCAAAUCCAGCUCCGGCUCUGCAGCCCACGCCCUUCCCUGCACUACACAGCAUCCAAUAGUCUUGAAGAAGGAGUGAAUGACAUUCGAAGGUUACAUCAUCUAAGCCAUACUCCUCUCCCAUCGCAUCCCUUGUUGUCCUUUACGUGGUUCCCAUUCAUCUUUCUUCUCUUGGGCCCGGGGGUGUGCUGGUGAAUGUUUAACAGCCACUCCGUGAAAAAAACAAAACGGUCUUGAUUGAUGGCA